UACGUAGGUGACCAGCGUUGUCCGGAUUUACUGGGCGUAAAGAGCGCGCAGGCGGUCGUUCAAGUCGAGUGUGAAAGCCCCGGGCUCAACCUGGGAAUUGCAUUCGAGACUGAAUAGCUAGGGUACGGUAGAGGGAAGCGGAAUUUCCGGUGUAGCGGUGAAAUGCGUAGAUAUCGGAAGGAACAUCAGUGGCGAAAGCGGCUUCCUGGACCAGUACCGACGUUCAGGCACGAAAGCGUGGGGAGCAAACAGG
rnacentral:rRNA from 1 species